rnacentral:tRNA from 1 species
GGGUCGUUAGCUCAGUUGGUAGAGCAGUUGACUUUUAAUCAAUUGGUCGCAGGUUCGAAUCCUGGACGAAGCA